UACGAAGGGUGCAAGCGUUACUCGGAAUUACUGGGCGUAAAGCGUGCGUAGGUGGUUUGUUAAGUCUGCUGUGAAAGCCCCGGGCUCAACCUGGGAAUGGCAGUGGAUACUGGCAAGCUAGAGUGCGAUAGAGGGGUGUGGAAUUCCCGGUGUAGCGGUGAAAUGCGUAGAGAUCGGGAGGAACAUCAGUUGCGAAGGCGGCUCCCUGGACCAGCACUGACACUGAGGCACGAAAGCGUGGGGAGCAAACAGG
rnacentral:rRNA from 1 species